AAACAACUCUCAGCAACGGAUAUCUUGGCUCUUGCAACGAUGAAGAACGCAGCGAAAUGCGAUACGUAGUGUGAAUUGCAGAAUUCCGCGAAUCAUCGAGUCUUUGAACGCAAGUUGCGCCCGAGGCUUGUCCAAGGGCAUUUCCGCUAGAGCGUCACCGCGCCCCCCCCACCGCCCUCCCCCCUCCCAGCGAGGGUCGGGUCGAGUGCAUGUG
rnacentral:rRNA from 1 species